rnacentral:rRNA from 1 species
CACGUAGGUGGCAAGCGUUGUCCGGAUUUAUUGGGUUUAAAGGGUGCGUAGGCGGUCCUAUAAGUCAGUGCUGAAAUAUCCCGGCUUAACCGGGAGGGUGGCAUUGAUACUGCAGGACUUGAGUAAAGUUGAGGUUGGCGGAAUUGACGGUGUAGCGGUGAAAUGCUUAGAUAUCGUCAAGAACACCUAUUGCAAAGGCAGCUAACUAAGCUUUAACUGACGCUGAGGCACGAAAGUGUGGGGAUCAAACAGG